rnacentral:tRNA from 1 species
AGGAGCUGUGCCUGAAUUUAAAGGGCCACUUUGAUAGAGUGAAUUAUGGGGGUUAGAAUCCCCCCAACUCCUU